rnacentral:rRNA from 2 species
UUUAUGGAGAGUUUGAUCCUGGCUCAGGAUGAACGCUGGCGGCGUGCCUAAUACAUGCAAGUCGAGCGAACGGACGAGAAGCUUGCUUCUCUGAUGUUAGCGGCGGACGGGUGAGUAACACGUGGAUAACCUACCUAUAAGACUGGGAUAACUUCGGGAAACCGGAGCUAAUACCGGAUAAUAUUUUGAACCGCAUGGUUCAAAAGUGAAAGACGGUCUUGCUGUCACUUAUAGAUGGAUCCGCGCUGCAUUAGCUAGUUGGUAAGGUAACGGCUUACCAAGGCAACGAUGCAUAGCCGACCUGAGAGGGUGAUCGGCCACACUGGAACUGAGACACGGUCCAGACUCCUACGGGAGGCAGCAGUAGGGAAUCUUCCGCAAUGGGCGAAAGCCUGACGGAGCAACGCCGCGUGAGUGAUGAAGGUCUUCGGAUCGUAAAACUCUGUUAUUAGGGAAGAACAUAUGUGUAAGUAACUGUGCACAUCUUGACGGUACCUAAUCAGAAAGCCACGGCUAACUACGUGCCAGCAGCCGCGGUAAUACGUAGGUGGCAAGCGUUAUCCGGAAUUAUUGGGCGUAAAGCGCGCGUAGGCGGUUUUUUAAGUCUGAUGUGAAAGCCCACGGCUCAACCGUGGAGGGUCAUUGGAAACUGGAAAACUUGAGUGCAGAAGAGGAAAGUGGAAUUCCAUGUGUAGCGGUGAAAUGCGCAGAGAUAUGGAGGAACACCAGUGGCGAAGGCGACUUUCUGGCCUGUAACUGACGCUGAUGUGCGAAAGCGUGGGGAUCAAACAGGAUUAGAUACCCUGGUAGUCCACGCCGUAAACGAUGAGUGCUAAGUGUUAGGGGGUUUCCGCCCCUUAGUGCUGCAGCUAACGCAUUAAGCACUCCGCCUGGGGAGUACGACCGCAAGGUUGAAACUCAAAGGAAUUGACGGGGACCCGCACAAGCGGUGGAGCAUGUGGUUUAAUUCGAAGCAACGCGAAGAACCUUACCAAAUCUUGACAUCCUUUGACAACUCUAGAGAUAGAGCCUUCCCCUUCGGGGGACAAAGUGACAGGUGGUGCAUGGUUGUCGUCAGCUCGUGUCGUGAGAUGUUGGGUUAAGUCCCGCAACGAGCGCAACCCUUAAGCUUAGUUGCCAUCAUUAAGUUGGGCACUCUAAGUUGACUGCCGGUGACAAACCGGAGGAAGGUGGGGAUGACGUCAAAUCAUCAUGCCCCUUAUGAUUUGGGCUACACACGUGCUACAAUGGACAAUACAAAGGGCAGCGAAACCGCGAGGUCAAGCAAAUCCCAUAAAGUUGUUCUCAGUUCGGAUUGUAGUCUGCAACUCGACUACAUGAAGCUGGAAUCGCUAGUAAUCGUAGAUCAGCAUGCUACGGUGAAUACGUUCCCGGGUCUUGUACACACCGCCCGUCACACCACGAGAGUUUGUAACACCCGAAGCCGGUGGAGUAACCUUUUAGGAGCUAGCCGUCGAAGGUGGGACAAAUGAUUGGGGUGAAGUCGUAACAAGGUAGCCGUAUCGGAAGGUGCGGCUGGAUCACCUCCUUUCU